rnacentral:rRNA from 1 species
AUGGCAUCGUUAGCCAACCUCUUAGUGUCGCUUCUCUUGAUUGCAAUCUUCUCUCCUACACCCAUACUAUGCUAUCUUAAUCAAGCUUCUGUAAGGGUACAACAGGGUGCUACCAACACCUCUGCCUACCACACUUACAUCGUGCUCGUUGAGCCACCACCCUUUAAUGCCGAUGAAGACAUGUACCAUCAUUGUUAUGAGUCCUUUUUGCCCAGUUCGCGUGAUGGCGACUCGGGCAAGGCACGUCUUGUGCACUCUUACACCAAGGUGUUUAGCGGCUUCGCCACAAUGCUCACUGAUGGGGAGCUUGAUGCAGUUGCCAAGAAACCGGGGUUCGUGCGGGCAUUCAAGGAGAAGACACGGUACCUCAUGACCACGCGCACACCAAAGUUCCUUGGGUUGAGGAACAGCACCGGGUUUUGGAGGGACGCUAGCUACGGUAAGGGGGUCAUUGUUGGCUUGCUCGAUACCGGCAUCUAUGCAAAACACGGUUCAUUCGAUGAUCGCGACAUCCCGUCGCCCCCGGCAAGGUGGAAGGGCUCGUGCAAGGCGACCCGGUGCAACAACAAGCUCAUCGGUGCCAAGUCAUUCGUUAAACACGAAGACACUGACGAUGAAGACGGGCAUGGCACACACACCUCAUCCACGGCGGCUGGUAACUUCAUCAUCAACGCGUCAUAUCAUGGCAUGGCAGCGGGCACCGCAUCUGGGGUUGCUCCCGGUGCCCAUAUCGCCAUGUACAAGGUGUGCAAUAGUGUGGGUUGUUAUGAGUCUGACAUAUUAGCUGGCCUCGACGCGGCAAUCAAGGAUGGGGUGGACGUGCUCUCAAUCUCCAUUGGCCUCGGUGACAAGUUCGAUAAGGACCCCAUCGCGAUCGGCUUAUUCAGUGCCAUGUCAAAGGGUAUUGUUGUGGUUUGCAGUGGUGGUAAUGACGGAGCCGAGCCACAUUCAAUCAAAAACGAUGCACCAUGGUUGAUCACAGUCGCUGCCGGCUCGGUGGAUCGAAGUUUUGAUGUUGGCGUCAAUCUCGGCAACGGCAUGAGCCUUCACGGUGAAGCGCUUAACCAGGUGGCAAAGCCGAUGUCAAAGAUGUAUCCACUCCUCUACUCCGAGGCACAGCGGGACUGUAACUACAUGCUUAACCAUGUUGUCGCCCAGAAGAUCGUGGUCUGUGACUCGGAGGCUCCUUGGUUCGUCGAUUCCAUACUGCAAGCCGGCGCGGCCGGUGUAGUGCUCGUCAACAAGGCAUCCGAUGGCUACACGGUUACUCUUGAUGACGACAACUCCGGUGUGGUGCAAAUGAGCGCCGUCCUCAGAGCUUACGCGGCAUCAUCAUCAAGCAGAUGGGCACGCGCGAGCUUCUCGUACCACAAUACAUUCCUUGGCUAUCGUCCGGCCCCUGUAGUGGCGUCGUUCUCUUCUCGAGGUCCAAGCAAGCAUUUCCCCGGCGUGCUCAAACCAGACAUAUUGGCGCCGGGGCUCAACAUCCUCGCUGCUUCUCCGUGGACGGAGUCCAAAAUAGGCCCUUUCAACAUAUUAUCCGGCACAUCCAUGGCAGCGCCACACAUCAGUGGUGUUGCAGCACUUAUCAAGGGCUUGCAUCCCGAUUGGUCCCCGGCGGCCGUCAAGUCGGCCAUGAUGACGACGGCGUACGUUGUUAAUAGCACCGGCGGCUCGGUCUUGGACGAGAAGCACGGGAAAGCGGACGCGUACGCGAUGGGCGUGGGCCAUGUGAAUCCAACAAGAGCCGCUGACCCUGGCUUGGUGUACGACCUGGGUGUCAUCGACUAUGCUGGCUACAUCUGCUGGCUCCUCGGUGAUAGAGGCCUGGCAACCAUCGUGCGUAACAAGAGCUUGACCUGCGCAAAGCUACCAAAGGUCAGAGAUGUUGAGCUCAACUACCCAACUAUAACUGUGCCACUGAAGCCGACUGCCUUGAUGGUGAAUCGGACGGUGACGAACGUCGGGCCGCCAUCAUCGACAUACGUUGCGAAGCUGGACAUGCCCAAGUCACUUACAGCACGCGUCACCCCGAACAAGCUGGUGUUCUCGAAGGCCGGGGAGAAGAAGACAUUCAGCGUGUCAGUGAGUGGCAAGGGCGUUCAUGGACAAAAACAUGUGGAGGGAAGCUUGAGCUGGGUGUCCACGCGACAUGUUGUGAGGAGCCCCAUCAUCGCUGUUCCUAAUCUUCCCGAAUCUCCACCGUCUCAAGAGAGUUUUUAG